rnacentral:rRNA from 1 species
GAUGAACGCUGGCGGUCUGCUUAACACAUGCAAGUCGAACGGAAUCCUUCGGGAUUUAGUGGCGGACGGGUGAGUAACGCGCGAGAAUCUGCCUUCAGGUUCGGGACAACAGCUGGAAACGGCUGCUAAUACCGGAUGUGCCGAGAGGUGAAAGCUUUAGUGCCUGAAGAUGAGCUCGCGUCUGAUUAGCUAGCAGGAGUGGUAAUGGCACCCCUAGGCGACGAUCAGUAGCUGGUCUGAGAGGAUGAUCAGCCACACUGGGACUGAGACACGGCCCAGACUCCUACGGGAGGCAGCAGUGGGGAAUUUUCCGCAAUGGGCGCAAGCCUGACGGAGCAAGACCGCGUGAGGGAAGAAGGUCUGUGGAUUGUAAACCUCUUUUGAUGGGGAAGAAGACAGUGACGGUACCCAUCGAAUCAGCCUCGGCUAACUCCGUGCCAGCAGCCGCCGUAA